UUGUGAGAACUGAACAUUUUUCA
rnacentral:miRNA from 1 species